UACGAAGGGGGGCUAGCGUUGCUCGGAAUCACUGGGCGUAAAGCGCACGUAGGCGGAUUGCUAAGUCAGGGGUGAAAUCCUGGAGCUCAACUCCAGAACUGCCUUUGAUACUGGUGAUCUUGAAUCCGGGAGAGGGAUGUGGAAUUCCAGGUGUAGCGGUGAAAUGCGUAGAUAUCUGGAGGAACACCGGUGGCGAAGGCGGCAUCCUGGACCGACACUGACGCUGAGGAGCGAAAGCCAGGGGAGCAAACGGG
rnacentral:rRNA from 1 species